rnacentral:tRNA from 1 species
AAUUAAAAUAGUUUAAAUGAGAAUAUUGAUUUGUGGAUUCAAUGGUUAUAUUAUAUAUUUUAAU